CUAAACUUCUCUUUUGAACUCCAGAUUCAUAUAUCUAAUUAUCUACUUGAUAUUUCAGUGCAUAUAUCUAAUAGGCAAAUAAAACUUAACUUGUCCAAAAACCAGCUCUUGAUUCCUCCCUUCCACCACCACCACUCUCAAAUCAGCUCUAACCACAGAUUUCCCCAUCUUAGUAACUGGUAACUCCAUUGUCCCAAGUUUCUUAGGCCAAAGAUGCUUUGAGACAUCCAGAAUUCUGCACUUUAUCUCCCACCCUUUUCUCAUCAAUCAGCAUAUUCUGUUAACUAUGCCCAUCAAAAUAGAUUUUGAAUUUGUCCACUUCUCACCACCUCCACUGAUAUCACCCAAGCUCAAGGCUAGGAGGUUCUUUCCAAUUUUUGCUGUUACAAAGAAAGCUACAAUCAAAUAUUCUUGUGAUGCUGGCUUGCUGAAAUCAGAUGUGGGACCCUAAUACCUAACCAUUAAAGUACAUCUUCAGAGCUCUAGACUUCCUCAGAAUGCGGUAUUAAAACCAUCAACCUAGAGGUGCUCUAAGGGACUGGAUCUGAUGACUUCAAAAGAAUGAACCAGUAUGACACAGUGCUCAACCAGAAAUGACAAGGAAGAGCAUGAUUCCUGAAAUGUAACAAAGGGACAAACCUAGGAGGUGUCUUUGAUUCAAGGUACCUUUAGUAGAAGUCUCUACAUUCUUGUGAAUGUACACUAUUUGAUUAUUCCUGGAACUUUGUAAUCAUGAGAUGUGUGUGUGUGUGUGUGUGUGCGUGCGCAUGCAUACCUGCUCCUACUCUAUCAAUAACACUAGCAAAGUAGUGCAGACAAUUAAUUUUUGUUGAACUACAAAUCAAUAAGUUGGAGAUGAAGUAGAGGGGAAGCUACAAAUGCCACCAUUGAAGCUCCUGAGAAGAGAGAGCAGUAGAGACUCCAUGCUCCUCUACCAAGGGAAGCUUGAACAACUAAAAUGAAUAAACAGG
rnacentral:lncRNA from 1 species